UUCAGGUCGUUGCCGCUCUGAUUGCCUUUUUUUCCACAUACCUGAUUUUAGCUGGAACAGCUUUCACUAUCGACCACCCACCACCCUGUGAACACAAUGGAUUGCUUUUGUAAGAUGUUGCCACCGAGUAGGCUACGGUAUGAGGACCAUUACCUUUGCGGCUGUCUGAUGCGGGAAACGUCACAGCAGCUAUUAAGUACACUAGAUGCAUAG
rnacentral:lncRNA from 1 species